AGUGGCGGACGGCUGAGUAAUACAUAGGAAUCUGCCCCUACCUGGGAAAUAGCUCUGGGAAACCGGAGGUAAUGUCCCAUAGUCCCCGCCUCGCGGGGUAAAGGCUUCGGUCGGGAAGGGAUGAGCCUAUGUCCUAUCAGGUAGUUGGUGAGGUAAUGGCUCACCAAGCUGAUGACGGGUAGCUGGCUUUACGAGAGUGGUCAGCCAGAGGGGGACUGAGACACGGCCCCCACUCCUACGGGAGGCAGCAAUUAGGAAUAGUCGGCAAUGGGCGAAAGCCUGACCGCGCAAUACCGCGUGUAAGAUGAAGCUGGAAACAGUGUAAACUACUGUGGCAAGAGAAGAAGUCCCGCAUUUUGCGGGAUUGACGGUAUCUUGCUAGAAAGGGGCCGCUAACUUCGUGCCAGAAGCGUCGGUAAGACGAAGGCCUCAAGCGUUAUCCGGUGUUACUGGGCGUAAAGGGUCGUGUAGGCGGUUCUGUAAGUUACCUUUUAAAGACCACGGCUCAACCGGGGGAAUGGAGGUAAUACUGCAAAACUAGAGUUAUCUAUGGGGGUAACCGGAACUAAAGGAGGAGUAGUGAAAUGCGUUGAUACCUUUAGGAACACCAAUGGCGAAGGCAGGUUACUGUAAGAUAACUGACGCUGAGACACGAAAGCUAGGGUAGCGAAGCAGAUUAGAGACCUGCGUAGUCCUAGCCGUAAACG
rnacentral:rRNA from 1 species